rnacentral:ncRNA from 2 species
CUGGCCCUCUCUGCCCUUCC